GUUAACUCCUCUCACUCCCCCUCCCCCAUUUCCGACCCCAGUAACGGCUCAUGCCAUUGAAUUGUUCAUUUUUAUUUUCAUAGGGAAAUUGAAAUACUUGCACUAUUUGUAGCUUGCCUUUGGGAUGAUCUUGAUCACAGUUGGACAAACAACAGCUUUCAGGUUCACUCUGGUUCUGUGCUUGCCGCCCUCUGUAGUUCAGAAGGAUCAGUAAUGGAGAGGGAUAUAAAAAGGAAGAUGCAAAAUGUAGGAAACUGUUGCUGUGUUAACUUAUGACAAGUUGUGACUCAUCAGAUCAGACAAAGGGAUGGAAGACAACAAAGAAGAUUGCUAUACGUACCUAUCACAGAGUUAAGAGGGAACCUGCCCUGGGGUCCAAGUUGAAAGUAGUCAAUUCCAUGAAAUCCUCAGUGGCAGAUUCAGGAAUUUGAAGUGGAAAAGAAGCCCAGGUGGGAAUCUCACAGAUGGAGGGGCUAGAGCUGAGGAUUCUUGCCGACAUAUUUCCUGAAGCACAAGUUCUUUUAAACACGGUGGAUGGUAACUGAAAUAUGUGGAUCAAGCUCUCCGAGACGAAAGCAAGCAAUGACGCCUCAGCAGCACAAUUCUCUUGAUUUCUUUGACAUGCAAUUCCAUAGUGAAACGCCCGCUUUGAUUCCAGAAGAAAACAAGGAAAGGAAAAAGCAAUUAAAUCCUCCGAAAGAUAGUGCCAUUCUGUGCUGUGGCUUCACACCCCAUUUGUUGAUGUAUACUCCCUUAGUUUACUGCCAUUCCAUGCUGUGGUUUUACCCACUUGAUGACUGACUGAUGUAGGGUACAAUGAUAUAGACAGGGCAAUGCUUGCUUUAUAACCCAUGUUUAGAGCUUGUUAUUCACUUCCCCCAACAAUCGUCAGUUUAUGCGAUUCUACGGAGAACUCAACGCCACGACGUGCACGCAAGGGAUUGUUUUUAAUGACAAUCCGUUCAAACUGCCAACGACAAUCAGCAGGCGACGGCAUCGCUUCUUCUAGCCAUCCACAAAGAGUGGAGUUGGAUUCAUCGGCCGAUGGUCUUACAACUGCUGUACGACACAUCAAGAUUUAUAGGUAGCCAAUACCAUCAAGAUGUGUACAAAAUCCAGAGCACCAAAAUUCCGUGGACCUUUCUUAUUGGUCAGUUUGAUUGACGCCCUGGAAAGGCCCAUUAUCACUGUCUUUUUUAUUAAAAACAUGGGAUUUAUAUAUGCACAGUUGUAUAUUGUUGAGUAAAAUGCAAGACAUAUAACAGUAAUAUAACAAAUUGUAUCUAUUUAGAUACACUGUAUUGGAUGUAUGUGAUUUGGGGUUUUGUUUGUACUGUUGCUGAUAAUAGUGAUGAUGAUGGUGGUGGUUAUGGUGGUGUUGAUUACAUUAUUUUAUUUUUCGGUUCUUUCAUUUGUAUUUAUUUAGAUUUUUAAAAAA